rnacentral:rRNA from 1 species
GGCGGCGUGCCUAACACAUGCAAGUCGAACGGGAAAGCACUUUUCGGAGUGCGAGUAGAGUGGCGAACGGGUGAGUAACGCGUUGGUGACCUGCCCCGGAGAGGGGGAUAACAGCUUGAAAGGGCUGCUAAUACCCCAUGAUGUCUAAAGGGUUAGAGACCUAUAGACGAAAGGCUUCGGUCGCGUUCGGGAGGGCCUGCGUCCAUCAGCUAGUUGGUAGGGUAAUGGCCUACCAAGGCGAAGACGGGUAGGGACCUGAGACGGGUGACCCCCACAAUGGAACUGAAACACGGUCCAUACACCUACGGGUGGCAGCAGUAGGGAAUUAUUGCAACAAUGGGCGAAAGCCUGAUGCAGCAACGCCGCGUGCGCGAAGAAGGCCGUUCGGGUUAGUAAAGCGUCGUUUUCGGGGAGAAGAGAAAGGACGGUAUCCCCGGAAUAAGGAUCGGCUAACUACGUG